rnacentral:rRNA from 1 species
UACGUAGGGGUGCAAGCGUUAAUCGGAAUUACUGGGCGUAAAGCGUGCGCAGGCGGUUUUGUAAGUCUGUCGUGAAAAUCCCCGGGCUCAACCUGGGAAUUGCGAUGGAGACUGCAAGGCUAGAAUCUGGCAGAGGGGGGUAGAAUUCCACGUGUAGCAGUGAAAUGCGUAGAGAUGUGGAGGAACACCGAUGGCGAAGGCAGCCCCCUGGGUCAAGAUUGACGC